rnacentral:rRNA from 1 species
AGUUUGAUCCUGGCUCAGGAUGAACGCUGGCGGCAUGCCUAAUACAUGCAAGUCGAACGAGGGUCCUUCGGGACUCGAGUGGCGAACGGGUGAGUAACACGUAGGGAACCUGCCCGUGCGACCGGGAGAACUUUCGGAAACGGAAGCUGAUACCGGAUAGGGACAGAGACGGCAUCGACUCUGUGUUAAAGGAGCUGAAAGGCUCCGCGCACGGAUGGACCUGCGGUGCAUUAGCUGGUUGGUGAGGUAACGGCCCACCAAGGCGACGAUGCAUAGCCGGCCUGAGAGGGCGGACGGCCACACUGGGACUGAGACACGGCCCAGACUCCUACGGGAGGCAGCAGUAGGGAAUUUUCGUCAAUGGGCGCAAGCCUGAACGAGCAAUGCCGCGUGAACGAGGAAGGUCUUCGGAUCGUAAAGUUCUGUUGAAGGGGAAAAAGAGCGGAGAGAGGAAAUGGUCUCCGAUUGAUAUUACCCUUCGAGGAAGUCACGGCUAACUACGUGCCAGCAGCCGCGGUAAUACGUAGGUGGCGAGCGUUAUCCGGAAUGAUUGGGCGUAAAGGGUGCGUAGGCGGCCUGCUAAGUCUGGAGUGAAAGGUACCGGCUCAACCGGUACAGGCUCUGGAAACUGGCGGGCUAGAGAGCAGGAGAGGGCGGUGGAACUCCAUGUGUAGCGGUAAAAUGCGUAGAUAUAUGGAAGAACACCAGUGGCGAAGGCGGCCGCCUGGCCUGUUACUGACGCUGAGGCACGAAAGCGUGGGGAGCAAAUAGGAUUAGAUACCCUAGUAGUCCAUGCCGUAAACGAUGAGGACCAAGUGUUGGGGAAGACCCAGUGCUGCAGUUAACGCAGUGAGUCCUCCGCCUGGGGAGUAUGCACGCAAGUGUGAAACUCAAAGGAAUUGACGGGGGCCCGCACAAGCGGUGGAGUAUGUGGUUUAAUUCGAAGCAACGCGAAGAACCUUACCAGGCCUUGACAUAGGGUGCGAAGCUAUGGAGACAUAGUGGAGGUAAACAUCCAUACAGGUGGUGCAUGGUUGUCGUCAGCUCGUGUCGUGAGAUGUUCAGUUAAGUCUGGCAACGAGCGCAACCCUCGUGAUGUGUUACCAAUAUCGAGUUAGGGACUCACAUCAGACUGCCGGUGAGAAACCGGAGGAAGGCGGGGAUGACGUCAAAUCAUCAUGCCCCUUAUGGCCUGGGCUACACACGUACUACAAUGGCGGCGACAGAGGGCAGCGAGCCUGCGAAGGCAAGCGAAUCCCAAAAAAGCCGUCCCAGUUCGGAUUGGAGUCUGCAACCCGACUCCAUGAAGUUGGAAUCGCUAGUAAUCGCGGAUCAGUAUGCCGCGGUGAAUACGUUCUCGGGCCUUGCACACACCGCCCGUCA